UAAAGUGGUACGCGAGCUGGGUUUAGAACGUCGUGAGACAGUUCGGUCCCUAUCUGCCGUGGGCGCUGGAGAACUGAGGGGGGCUGCUCCUAGUACGAGAGGACCGGAGUGGACGCAUCACUGGUGUUCGGGUUGUCAUGCCAAUGGCACUGCCCGGUAGCUAAAUGCGGAAGAGAUAAGUGCUGAAAGCAUCUAAGCACGAAACUUGCCCCGAGAUGAGUUCUCCCUGACUCCUUGAGAGUCCUGAAGGAACGUUGAAGACGACGACGUUGAUAGGCCGGGUGUGUAAGCGCAGCGAUGCGUUGAGCUAACCGGUACUAAUGAACCGUGAGGCUUAACCUU
rnacentral:rRNA from 1 species